rnacentral:rRNA from 1 species
CAUGUAGGCGGUUUUGUAAGCCUGGUGUGAAAUCCUGCAGCUUAACUGUAGAAUUGCAUUGGGUACUGCAAGACUUGAAUCACGGAGGGGAAACUAGAAUUCCAGGUGUAGGGGUGGAAUCUGUAGAUAUCUGGAAGAAUACCGGUGGCGAAGGCGGGUUUCUAGCCGAUGAUUGACGCUGAGGUGCGAAAGUGCGGGGAGCAAACAG